UCACCGCUCGGCACGGACACAUGCAAUAGGCCGCGAUGGCGCCAACCUCCUGGCCUCGGCGAGGAUGCAGGGCUGUGGUCAGCUUCCGUUUGCCCGAGAAGAGCGAGCGCAGGACACACCUUAUGGUAGGUAAGACGACCACCCCUCGGCUACCCUGUGAUGACGACAUCGACGGCGAUGAUGAUGAUGAUGAUAUGGAGGGAUUGUUGAUUGCUGACUCAAGACCAAGAACCAUUUGCUGAGACAUUACCAGAUGACGACAGGGUGAACAGAAGCCAUCAGACUGCCUUAUGAAGAUGCUUUUACUGGAGCGACUGAACCAACCACGGCGAGUACAUCCACGACUUGCUCACAACAGGCAUCUGUGUGAAGGUUUAUCUGCAAACCGGAAAAAGUGGCUGGCCACUAUGGCUGACAGGGCUGAGUCCUUGAGGAGAUCAUGUGUCUGUGGAAAGUACAGGAGGCACUGAUGUUUGAGCUUUUUAAACGAAUGUCCCCCGUUAUUGCUCCUUUCCCCGCUGUCUCCGCCUGGCCCCUUUUUCAACAUCUCUAUGACAGUGGACCUAUGGCUUGGAGGAGUGCUGUAUUGACAUAUAGCAGUAAAUGGUAUUGUGUUUAUAUUGUAGGAUAUACCCUGAUACAUGGGAGGAUGUGAAUGAUACUAUUAUAUUGUUGACAUUGUUUUGGUCUUUCGUCUUGACGGCUUCAGACGAGUUCCUUGUUUUUCACUUGCAUUUUCACCUUCAGAUUUUAUGUUUCACUUCAACCACUGUUGUAUAUGAAUAGUAAU